UGGGUCAUUGGUGGUUAUGGCUGAUAAAUACAACAAAGCGGAAAUGUCAUAUACUUGACCCGCUACACAAAAAAGCUCCAAGCGAUGAGAGAAAGCAGGUUAAUAGAUUCACUAUAAGUUGCCUCUGUCUUCUUUACUUUAAUAUUUAGGUCUAUUUCGUUAGUUGUGUUGGGUGUAUAUUGUCCAUUCAGUUGGGUGUAUCUUGUGCAUUUAUUCGGGUGUAUUAAUGAUUUGUUUUGCUAUUUAAGGGAUAUGUAUUUUCAAGAUUGAUAACAUAUGUCGGCGGGGAACCUCUGCAGAAAGGGGAGAACGAGAAGAAAAUUAAAACAUCAUAUGUUAAAAUAUCAGGCCAAAAAACAAGCUAUGACUGCGCUGUGUACGUUAUGAAGUGGAUGGAGUUAAUUGAGCCGGAAAACAUCAAAAACGGGAAGUAUGAAUGGGAUAAUUGGCCACAGGAGGAGGUGGACCACUAUAGAGUGGAGUAUGCUUCCCGGAUACUAUUCAGUGAGAUGAAUAAAGAAAGAGAUCGGGCAAUUAGAGA